rnacentral:lncRNA from 1 species
UACAGUCCUGGCCGGGUAUUUCUCCCGUCCUGGGGGAAGGGAUGCCUAAUCAUAACACAAACAUCACUAUCACUAAGUAUACUAGCAUCCCUCUCUUCUUUUAUUAUGCUUUUCUUUAUUUGUUUUUAUUGCUUCCCCCCGCCUCGUGUGGUGUUCAACUAACUUUUCUUCCUCUCUUUUUUUUUCUUUUCGUAAGGCUGCUUUUUUCAAAUGAGGAGGUUGUGAUUCUGAUCGGGCUCGGAUUCGGCUAAAAUCAGGCACCAAUACCCUAAUCCAUGCCUCAAAGGGUUGACAAGAAGAGCCCAAUGUGGC